rnacentral:rRNA from 1 species
UACGUAGGGGGCAAGCGUUGUCCGGAAUCAUUGGGCGUAAAGCGCGUGUAGGCGGCUUGGUAAGUCUGCUCUGAAAGUCCGGGGCUCAACCCCGGGAGGCGGGUGGAUACUGUCAAGCUCGAGUCCGGAAGAGGAGUGUGGAAUUCCUGGUGUAGCGGUGAAAUGCGCAGAUAUCAGGAAGAACACCCGGUGGCGAAGGCGGUUCUCUG